rnacentral:rRNA from 1 species
CCUACGGGGGGCAGCAGUGGGGAAUAUUGGACAAUGGGCGAAAGCCUGAUCCAGCCAUGCCGCGUGUGUGAAGAAGGCCUUCGGGUUGUAAAGCACUUUAAGUAGGGAGGAAUGGCUCUUGGCUAAUAACCUUGAGCAGUGACGUUACCUACAGAAUAAGCACCGGCUAACUCUGUGCCAGCAGCCGCGGUAAUACAGAGGGUGCAAGCGUUAAUCGGAAUUACUGGGCGUAAAGCGCGCGUAGGCGGUUGUAUAAGUUGGGUGUGAAAUCCCCG